CUCAGGAAAGUAACAGCAGUAGUGCUAAGAAUAAAUGAGAAAGCCACACUGAGGGCAGAAAGAGGUGAGCAACCAGCAUUUUAACUCUGAGGGAGAACAGUUGAUCCCAGAAAAUUCUCAGACCUGCAGACCUGAGGCCAUGUCACUUUUCAGUGACUGCUUGUCGCUGACUGUUUAUGUGAAUGUCUGCACUGAGUCCGGAUUGAACUGCUUGGCAAGCUCAUCGGGGCCCUAGACUCUGCUCUGGAAUUUGUGUCUACAGUCCGGGAAGCUAUCGGGAAGUGACAGGAAAUGCACAUGAUGGGGGCAAAACUGGAACGUGACAGCUGGCCCAGCACCUGGCCAGAGCAGGCAGCAGCCUAGAUGUUGUUCUCAGGGGUGCCACCCACCUGCCCACUGUGUCCAUGCUUCCCUGGGCCCGCCCAUGGGCCUGUUUGUGCUACUCAGUAGGUGGUUUUUAGAAAGCGCUUCCUUCAGAGUCAUGAGCAACAGGAGUCGUAGUCCAUUUGCGUGAGGAAAAUGCACUUAUCCUUCGGUUUCCGAUUGCCUGUAGACUGCAUCUGUCAUAGACAAACACCCUCAUCUUUUACAGAGAGCCAGUCUCUUUAAACUUCGUUUCUAACGCUUAUUCUUUUUGCCCUAUGUAGGAAACCACUGAUUGCUUGUGUGGAGAAACAGCUAUUAGGAGAACAUUUAACAGCAAUUCUGCAGAAAGGGCUUGAUCACUUACUGGAUGAGAACAGAGUGCCGGACCUCGCACAGAUGUACCAGCUGUUCAGCCGGGUGAGGGGCGGGCAGCAGGCGCUGCUGCAGCACUGGAGCGAGUACAUCAAGGUACUGGUGGGUUUGAGGUAGCAGGCGCGGGCGUUCCCUGCAGGGAGCAGAGCCCCUCCUGCGAACGCCCGGGGCCCUGGUAAAGGGAACUGGGCUGCUGGAGGGGCCGUUUGCAUUUUCAUCACAGAUGGUGGGUGGACGGUAGGUUUCCAUCUGCUUCCCAAUCACCAGUGUAAAUUCGUUUUUUAAGAUACCACCAGCAGUGAUUAGCAACAUCCAGGUAGAAAGUAUAACUUAAAGAACAGCUGCUUUGCUAUUCUUCAUCAGCAUAAAUAUUGGUUUAAUUCUACAGUCAUGAUUUUUCUGAAAGGAAUCAUUUUUGUAAACCUGCUUGUGAAACAUGAUCUUUCAUGCCCUUUGCUCAGUGAGGACUAUUAUAUAUUUGGCAUGUCAGGUUGCAUUGUAGACUUUAUUUUUUAAUGGUCCAAAUUUAGGAUUUACUACUUAAACUUUCACGUUUCAAAAGCAUUUCUUUGGCAUUGCUGACAAGCCUGAUCCAGCCUGUACAUAAAGUGAGUUCUUGGGCAGUACCCUGAGUUUUCACAUGUCCUGCCCUGGAGUAUGACCCCUUGGCGCUGGCACAGACCUCACUGAUUGAGCAGUACCCUGAGUUUUCACAUGUCCUGCCCAGGAGAGUGGCCCCUUGGUGCUGGUAACAGACCUCACUGAUUGAGCAGUACCCUGAGUUUUCACAUGUCCUGCCCUGGAGUAUGGCCCCU